GAUGAACGCUGGCGGCGUGCCUAAUACAUGCAAGUCGAGCGAACGGACGAGAAGCUUGCUUCUCUGAUGUUAGCGGCGGACGGGUGAGUAACACGUGGAUAACCUACCUAUAAGACUGGGAUAACUUCGGGAAACCGGAGCUAAUACCGGAUGAUAUUUUGAACCGCAUGGUUCAAAAGUGAAAGACGGCCUUGCUGUCACUUAUAGAUGGAUCCGCGCUGCAUUAGCUAGUUGGUAAGGUAAUGGCUUACCAAGGCAACGAUGCAUAGCCGACCUGAGAGGGUGAUCGGCCACACUGGAACUGAGACACGGUCCAGACUCCUACGGGAGGCAGCAGUAGGGAAUCUUCCGCAAUGGGCGAAAGCCUGACGGAGCAACGCCGCGUGAGUGAUGAAGGUCUUCGGAUCGUAAAACUCUGUUAUUAGGGAAGAACAUAUGUGUAAGUAACUGUGCACAUCUUGACGGUACCUAAUCAGAAAGCCACGGCUAACUACGUG
rnacentral:rRNA from 1 species